GAACUCCAAUUGCGCAGGCAGCUACUAAACUACACUGACGCUGAAGCACGAAAGCGUGGGUAUCAAACAGGAUUAGAUACCGUGGUAGUCCACGCAGUAAACGAUGAUUACUAGCUGUUUGUGUAUUAAAUAAGUGGCUAAGCGAAAGCGAUAAGUAAUCCACCUGGGGAGUACGCCGGCAACGGUGAAACUCAAAGGAAUUGACGGGGGCCCGCACAAGCGGAGGAACAUGUGGUUUAAUUCGAUGAUACGCGAGGAACCUUACCCGGGCUUGAAAUGAUCUGACCGAUCGGGAAACCGAUCUUCUAGCAAUAGCAGAUGCGUAGGUGCUGCAUGGUUGUCGUCAGCUCGUGCCGUGAGGUGUCGGCUUAAGUGCCAUAACGAGCGCAACCCACAUUGUUAGUCACUAACAGGUCAAGCUGAGGACUCUGACAAGACUGCCAGCGUAAGCUGGAGGAAGGUGUGGAUGACGUCAAAUCAGCACGGCCCUUACGUCCGGGGCGACACACGUGUUACAAUGGGGGGUACAGAGGGUUGCUACUUGGUGACAAGAUGCUAAUCUCGAAAGCCUCUCCCAGUUCGGAUUGGAGUCUGCAACUCGACUCCAUGAAGCUGGAUUCGCUAGUAAUCGCGCAUCAGCAUGGCGCGGUGAAUACGUUCCCGGGCCUUGUACACACCGCCCGUCAAGCCAUGGAAGCUGGGGGUACCUGAAGUACGUAACCGCAAGGAGCGUCCUAGGGUAAAACUAGUGACUGGGGCUAAGUCGUAACAAGGUAACCA
rnacentral:rRNA from 1 species